UUUUUUUUUUUCUCAAGUCUUUAGUAAAUCCAUUUUAUAAGGCUGGGAAAACUUAGCAUGUAACUGAUUUUUGUCAGUAUCAGAUAGCUAUGAAAAAGAAUCACACCAGAUACAUGUUCCUGAGUCACCAUUUUUAGUGUUUAAAAAACCAUUUUUUUCUAGUUCAAGAUGAUAGUUCUGAAUGCUAAUUCCAAAACCUUACAGUCUGUAUGUGAUAUGGAAUGACUGUGCAUUUAAAAAAACAAAUGGUAAAAGCAGAGGCAGAAUUACUGUGAAGCUAAGGAAGCACAAAUUAUAAGGCUCCUUUGCACAGUCCUUCUCCAGAGCACUGAGAGGGACUCUGGCAAUGAAUUCAGUGAUCAUACAUUUUCAUACAAUUGAUAGAAGUAAGACAUAUUAACUACAAUUAGUUAAGACCAGUGUCUUUUCAUGAUGAUUUCUCUAUCACCUUACCUCCUGGUUGGUGUGUCAGAGUAGCCACAUACAUCUUAGAACUCAGUUAAGAUGAGGUUGGGUUUGGGAUAUAUUUAGCCAGAGUUUAGUGGGAUAGGAUUACACGGUCUGCAGAGCUUUAUGUAUAAAUAUACUAUAACCAGCCAAGUAAGUUCAAGACGAGCUUCCAACAAUACUCUUAUCGCUCAGUGUACUGACUCAUCCAUAAUCAUGAACCCUAGAUGGAGGUCAAAUGUCACAUUAUGGCAUGAACAUGUCUUAUAAUGCCUGGUACUAAAGGUAUAUAACUAAGUCAAGAAGAAAUAUGAGAGGUUUUCUCAAAUUUGACAACAAUCUUAAAAAUUUAGAAGACACUAUUAACAAGUUUAAUAAUGAGUUGUAAACUGAAAAAAAAAGUUUUUCUUCUAUCAAUAAUAAAAAAGACUUUUGAUUAAUUUCAAAGGGUACUGUCCUCCCAUUGUAAACACUCAAAAACGAGACAAAGUACAUGAAACAUGAUUUUCAGAUAUUGCACAAAAAAUAGUGCCGAAUUGUGAUGUCUGAAAGAAGGGUCAUGCAUUAGUAGUGAGGCUAAAUUAGUUCCAAAAUAAAGCCCCACCAUAAUAAAGCUUAAAGGCAAGAUUUGAAAGGAUAAAAUGGAUGUGCUUAACUGCACACCAGAACAAAUCCAUCACUCUUUAAAGAGAGGCAACCAAAUCUAGUAACCAAUAAUAAAAUCCAGUACCCAAUUAUAAAAUUCACAAGGCUUAGCAUCCAGUCAAAAUUACUAGGCAUGUAAAGGAGUGAGAGAUUAUAACCCAUAAUCAGUAAAAAGAAUUAGAAACAUACCUAGAAACACAGCACAGACUGGAGGGAAAUAUUUACAUAAGACGUAUCAGAUGGAGAAAUGUUACCCAAAAUAUACAAAGAACUCCUUAAAAACUCAAGAAUAAGAAAAAAAUCUAAUUUGAAAAUUGGCCAAAGACCUUAAUAGACACUUGCCAACAAUAUAUAUAGACCUAAACAAUAUUAUUUACCAACUUGACCUGACAUAGAAACAUUAGAAUGACACUAUCAAAUGUGUAUUUUUAAAAAAGAAAUGAAUACAGAAAGAAACUAGAGAUGGAAAAAGACUGGAGAAGAGAGAUGAGCUGGGCACUUGCUACAAUGGUCCAAGCAAGAAGAUGAUACAGAUGGCAGGACUGAAGAAGCGUCAGAUUUAAGAGACAUUUUUGAAGCAGCAGUUAGUAAGAGUGCUAUCAGUAUCAGAGGUAAAGGAAGCCAAGGAUGAAUCCCAGGUUUCUGGAUUGGCCAGGGGGAAAUAAAGCGGAGCCAUUAACACAGAAAUAAGUAUAAAAGGGAGGCAUAUAUUGUGAAAAAAGAGCAGAGAUUUGAACAUGUGGAGAUAGGUAUUUUUGUACAUCCAUACAGCAUUAUAUAAUAGCCAAAUAUAGACCUUUAAAUACUAUCAUCCUUCCUAAAAUAUGCUUUGAUCGUCACUCCAUGUCUUCAAACUUUCCCACAGCUUCUCACUACGUGCAGGACGAAGUCUAAAUGUUUCUCUUGUUACUGAAACUUCUCCACAAUCUGGAUCUAAUGUACUCUGUAAGUCUUUACUUCCACUAUUCCCGUUAUUGCCUGUUAUAGUCAUUCUCAAAAUGUAGUACUUGGACCUGCGGCAGCAGCAGCAGCCCCUAGAAACUUGUUAGAAAUGAAAUUUCACAAGCACUACCUGAGACCUAUACAUCAGGGAUCAGAAACCAUGGGGGUGAGACCCAGCAAUCUGUGGUUUUAAUAAGCCCUCUUGGUAAUUUCAAUGCAUGCUAAAGUUUAAGAACUACUGAUGCAUAGAAACUCUAAAAUCCAACCAAAAUGGGCUACUGGCCAUUCACCCAAAAUGCUCCUCUACUGUCUCUGACUUACUCUAUAUUCAAUUAAAAGACUUGCAUCAGCAGAGCAACUGUCCAGAGACAAUAGAUUAUUAACAGCUGAUGAAGCACACAUUAUUCACUUUGCUAAAAGUACCCAUUUUCACAUUUAUAUAAUCAUUUAGUAUUCCAUUCAAGUAUUAUUUAGGUCAAAAACAGUUUUCUGAAAAACUAUGUUAGCGAAAUCUACACAAUACCACAUACAAACAAGUCACAGGCAUAAAACAGAUCUUAAUUUAGACGAGUGUGUACCUAGUCAAAGAAAUGACAGUACAAAGGAUUCCUACAGUCCCUGUGAUAGCAGCUGACAGCCUAAGCAGCUCAUUUUGGUUAGAUAAUAUAAGAGUGACUUCCCACUAGCUCAUACUUACAGCAAAUGCCUGAAAUGGUUCCAGCCUAAGCAUAGAUCAAAGAGUUUCUUUUCUUUCCUCUCUUCUUAGUUUCAUUGGAAUUUGAAAAUGACAGAACUUUUCUUUUCAUUGGGUUGCUUUAAAAAGAAUAAGAUAAAUUGUGAGUCUGCCCUUUCCAGAAACCGGGAGCAUACAUAGCAAGUGCACUGUCGCACAGGCAGAUGGUCUGGGUUCAAAGCCCAGUGUCAUCACUUGCCAGGUGGGUAUUCUUGGGUGACUUAACCUCUGGGUGUCCAUUUUCUCAGCUUUGAAGUGGUGAUUUUAAGAAUUCAGUAAAGUAGAGUUCCAGUCCAACAUAGCAACAGAGACACCUGAACUCAUCUCUUCUUAAGAACGCUCCAAAUCUACAGCCACACAUGAAGCAAUGCUCUCCUUCAGAAAUCCAGAAAUCAGCUAACUCCUACCCACUGGGCAAAUGAGAAAAUACCCUAAUAAAAAUGGGUAGGAAAGGCUGAAACACACCCUUGCCAUAAAGCACACCCCAGCACAGUGACAUACAAUCGAGAGGGAUCUCACAACUCCCAGCUUGCUCCUGAAGUGAGGGGUUUGGAUCCCAUAUCUAGUGCUACAAUUUUUGAGACUUCCACUCAAGGAAAGGGCCUUUUAAAGACCUAACUCUCUUAACAACUUUCAAAUGGAUAAUACAGUAUUGUUAACUACAGUAACCAUGCUAGACAUACCAUCCCCAGGGCUUCUUUAUACUAUAGGUUUGUACCUUUUGGACACUUUAAAACAUUGCAUCCACUCACCACCAAUCUGUUAUCUGUACGAGUUCUUUUUAAAAAAUAGAUUCUUAUAAGUGAUAUCAUACAGUAUUUCUCUGACUUAUUUCACUGAGAACAAUGCCCUCAAGGUCUAUCCACGUUGUUGUCACAAAUGACAAGAUUUCCUUUCUUUUUAUGGCUGAAUAAUAUUCCAGAGUGCAUGUGCACACACACACACAUUUUCUUUAUCCAUUCAUCCCUCAGUGGACACUUAGUUGUUUCCAUGUCCUUUUUGGCUAUAAUUGAAGUGAACAUAGGGAUACAUAUAUUUUUCUUAGGAAUUUACUUUCCUCCAGAUAAAUACCCAGAAGUAGAAUUGCUGGAUUAUGUGCUAGUUCUAUUUUUCUUUUUUGUUUGUUUAUUUGAGGAAAUUCUAUACUGUUUUACAUAAUUGCUGUAUCAAUUUAUAUUACCCUCUCCGACCAUACAAAAGCUCCCUUUUUGCAUAUCCUGACACUAUUUGUUAUUUCUUGUCUUUUUGAUAAUAGCCAUUCUAACAGGUGUGAGGUGAUAGCUCAUUGUGGUUUUUUACUUGAAUUUCCCAGAUGAUUAGUGGUUUAGAACAUCUUUCCGUGUGUCCGCUAGUCAUCUGCAGGUCUCCUUUGAAAAAAUGCCUAUGUAGGUUUCUGGCCAUUUUUAAUCAAGUGGGUUUUUUUGUUUGUAUAUGUUGAAUUGUGUAAGUUUGUAUAUUUUGGAUAUUAACCCCUUAUCAGAUGUAUCAUUUGCAAAUAUCUUCUCCCAUUCAGUAGGCUGUCUUUUCAUUUUGUUGAUUGUGUCCUUUACUGUUCCAAAGUGUUUUUAGUUUGAUUUAACUUCAUUUGUUUCUGCUUUUGUUUCCCUUGCAUAGGGAGACAUAUCCAAAAAAUAUUGCUGAGACCAAUGUUAAAGAGUGUGCUGCCUAUGUUUUCUUCUAAAAGUUUAAUGUUUUUAGGCCUUAACACUUAAGUCUUUAAUCAGUUUUUAUUUUUGUAUAUACUAGAAGAAAGUAGUCCAGUUUGAUUCUUUUGCAUGAAUCUGUCCAGUUUUCCCAAUACUAUUUAUCGAAUACUAUUUAUUCCUCAUUCUAUAUUCUUGCCUCCUUUGUUGCAGAUUAAUUCAUCAUAUAAGUGUGGGUUUAUUUCUGGGCACUCUAUUCUGUUAAUUUAAAAAAAAAAAAUUGAGGGGGAUCUCCGUGCUGUUCCAUUGAUCUUUGUGUCUGUUUUUGUGCAGUUUUCAUAGUUUUGAUUACUGUAGCUUUGUAGCAUAGUUUAAAAUCAUGGAGCAUGAUAUCCCCAGCCUUGUCCUUUUUCAAGAUUGCUUUGGCUAUUUGGAGGACUUUUGUAUUUCCAUACAAACUUUAGAAUUAUUCCUUCUACUGUGAAAAAUGCCUUUGGUAUUUUGAUAGGGAUUACACUGAAUCUGAAGAUUGCCUUGGGUAGUAAAGUCAUUUUAUAACAUUGAUUCUUCCAAUUCAUUAGUACAGUAUAUCUUUCAUAGAUAUCUAUCAUCUUCAGUUCUUUUCAUCACUAUCAUAGCUUGCUGAGUACAAACAUUUUAUCUCCAUGAUUAGAUUUAUUCUUAGGUAUUUUUCGAUGACAUUAUAAAUUGGAUUGUUUUCUUAAUUUAUCAUUCUCAUAGUUGUAUAUAGCACUACAACAGAUUUGUAUGUAUUAAUUUUGUAUCAGGAAACUUUACUGAAUUAAUUUAUUAGUUCUAAUAGUUUUUUGUUGGUGUUUUAGGGAUAUUGUAUAUACAGUACUAUGUCAUCUGCAAGCAGUGACACUUUUACUUCUUCCUUUCCAAUUUGGAUUCCUUUUAUUUCUUUUUCUUACCUGAUUGCUAUGGCUAGGACUUCCAAUACUACAUUGUAUAAAUAUCACAAAAAUGGGCAUCCUUUUCUCAUGCCUAAUCUUAGAGGAAAUGGUUUCAGCUUUUUCUCAUUGAGUAUGAUGGUGGCUAUAGGUUUGUAAUAUAUGGCUUUUCUCACGUGGAGGGAUGUUUCCCCUAAUCUCCUUUGCUGACAGAUUUUAUCAUAAGUGGAUCUUGAAUUUUGUCAAAACCUUUUCUGCAUAUACUGAGAUGAUUAUAUGAUUUUUAUUCUUCAGUUUGUUAAUGUGGCGUAUCACAGUGAUUGAUUUGCAAAUAUUGAACAAUCCUUUUAUUCCUGGGAUAAAUCCCACCUGAUCAUGGUGUAUGAUUCUUUCAAUGUACUGUUGAAUUCAGUUUGCUAAUAUUUAGUUGAGGAUUUUUGCAUCGUGUUCAUCAGUGAUACCGACUUAUAAUUUUCUUCUUUGUGUGUUUGUCUGAUUUUGGUAUCAGGAUGAUACUGGCCUUAAGGAAAAAUUCAGAAGAAUUUCCCCCAUCUUUAUUUGUUAGAAUAGUUUGAGGAAGAUACAUGCCAACUGUUUAUAAAUGUUUGGUAGAAUUAAACUGUGCCAUCUGGUCCUGGAUUUUUGUUCAUUGGGAGUUUUUUUUUUUUAAUUACUGAUUCAAUUUCAUUACUGAUAAUCACUCUGUCCAUAUUAUCUACUUCUUCCUGAUUUAGUUUUAUGAUCCUGACUAUGUUUCCAGAAAUUUAUCCAUUUCUUUUAGGUUUUCCAUUUUAUUUGCAUAUUUGUUCACAGUAAUCUCUUACGGUCCUUUGCAUUUCUGUACCAUCUAUUGUAACUUCUCUUUCAUUUCCAAUUUUUUUUUUUUAAUUUAGGCUCUCUCUUUUUUUCUUGAUGACUCUGGGUAAAGGUUUAUUGAUUUUGCUUAUCUUUUCAAAGAAACAGCUCCUAGUUUCAUUGAUAUUUUCUACUUUUUUUUUUUUUAAGUCUCUACGUCAUUUAUUUCUGCUCUAAUCUUUACUAUUAUUUCCUUUCAUUAACCUUGGGUUUUGUUUUUCUUUUUUCG
rnacentral:lncRNA from 1 species